GAACGAACGCUAGCGGCGUGGAUAAGACAUGCAAGUCGAACGAGAAACCAUUGAGCUUGCUUGACGGUUUCUAGUGGCGGACGGGUGAGUAACACGUGAGCACCUGCCCCGAAGUGGGGGAUAGCCUGCCGAAAGGUGGAUUAAUACCCCAUGUUGCCUCCGGGUAAAAGGUGGCUUCGGCUAUCGCUUCGGGAUGGGCUCGCGGCCUAUUAGCUUGUUGGUAGGGUAACGGCCUACCAAUGCGAUGACGGGUAGCUGGUCUGAGAGGACGAUCAGCCACACUGGAACUGAGACACGGUCCAGACACCUACGGGUGGCAGCAGUCGAGAAUCAUUCACAAUGGGCGCAAGCCUGAUGGUGUGACGCCGCGUGGAGGAUGAAGGCCCUAGGGUCGUAAACUCCUGUCAUCAGGGAGUAAGCCAUGGUCGUUAAUAGCGGCACAUGGUUGAUAGUACCUGAAGAGGAAGGGACGGCUAACUUCGUGCCAGCAGCCGCGGUAAUACGAAGGUCUCAAGCGUUGUUCGGAAUCACUGGGCGUAAAGGGAGCGUAGGCGGUCCGGUAAGUCGGGUGUGAAAGGCAUGGGCUCAACCCAUGGACUGCACUCGAUACUGCCGUGACUUGAGUAGUGGAGGGGAAACCGGAAUUCUCGGUGUAGCAGUGAAAUGCGUAGAUAUCGAGAGGAAGACUCGUGGCGAAGGCGGGUUUCUGGACACUUACUGACGCUGAGGCUCGAAGGCCAGGGUAGCGAAAGGGAUUAGAUACCCCUGUAGUCCUGGCAGUAAACGGUGCGCGCUUGGUGUGGGGGAGUUCGACCCCCUCCGUGCCGGAGCUAACGCGUUAAGCGCGCCGCCUGGGGAGUACGGUCGCAAGACUAAAACUCAAAGAAAUUGACGGGGACCCGCACAAGCGGUGGAGUAUGUGGCUUAAUUCGAUGCAACGCGAAGAACCUUACCUGGGCUUGACAUGCCGUCGUAGUCUGUGAAAGCAGACGUCAGUUCGGCUGGACGUGCACAGGUGCUGCAUGGCCGUCGUCAGCUCGUGUCGUGAGAUGUUCGGUUAAGUCCGGCAACGAGCGCAACCCCUGCGAUUAGUUACCAGCGCGUCAUGGCGGGGACUCUAAUCGGACUGCCCAGAUCAACUGGGAGGAAGGUGGGGACGACGUCAGGUCAGUAUGGCCCUUAUGUCCAGGGCUGCACACGUACUACAAUGUCCGGUACAAUGGGAACCAAUACCGCGAGGUGGAGGAAAUCCACAAAACCGGGCUCAGUUCGGAUUGGAGGCUGCAACUCGCCUCCAUGAAGUUGGAAUCGCUAGUAAUGGCGCAUCAGCUACGGCGCCGUGAAUACGUUCCCGGGUCUUGUACACACCGCCCGUCACAUCAUGGGAGCCGGUCGCACCCGAAGUGUUUCCACCAAGGAAGCCCUAAGGUGUAGCUGUAACUGGGAUGAAGUCG
rnacentral:rRNA from 1 species